rnacentral:lncRNA from 1 species
GCGUGACCUGGUCUAAUGGAGUUUCUUCUACAAAAAUAGGUUUCUUUGUCUAUUGGCUUUUUGGCUUUUAGAAUGAUGGUUAGGUCCUCCAUAGCUAUGUUCCAUGGGUAGUUUUGUGAUAUCCUAGGCAUGGGGUAGAAAAGAAAGGAGUGAUGUGUAAUGGAAUAGUAAGGCAACAAAAUUGAUGAGGGAAUUGGAGGG